rnacentral:rRNA from 1 species
GACGAACGCUGGCGGCGUGCUUAACACAUGCAAGUCGAACGGAAACGCCCCUUUGGGGGUACUCGAGUGGCGAACGGGUGAGUAACACGUGAGUAACCUGCCCUUGACUUCGGGAUAACUUCAGGAAACUGGGGCUAAUACCGGAGAGGAAUCCUUGUGGCAUGGUGGGGGUUGGAAAGCUUCGGCGGUUUUGGAUGGGCUCGCGGCCUAUCAGCUUGUUGGUGGGGUAGUGGCUUACCAAGGCUCUGACGGGUCGCCGGCCUGUGAGGGUGACCGGCCACACUGGGACUGAGAUACGGCCCAGACGCCUACGGGUGGCCGCAGUGGGGAAUAUUGAUCAAUGGGCGGCAGCCUGAUGCAGAAACGCCGCGGGCGGGAUGACGGCUUUCGGGUUGUCAACCGCUUUCAGGAGGGGCGAAGCUUGUGGUGACGGUACCUGCAGAAGAAGCACCGGCUAACUACGUG